GUACAGGCCCAAACCAGCCGCCCCUCCCCAGUCCCAAAAAAUAGACCAGCAGAGGUCAAUUAUAUUUCAUAACUAAAAAUUUAUUAAGGAAACAAAACCAGGGUUCCAAGUGGGACAGAAAGAAGAAAGGUAUUCUUCCAUUCCCAAUCCCCCAACCCCCAGCCAAUGACCCUCACAGCCAGAGGAGGGGACCUCAAAGGAAGUAGCCUGCCUGCGCCUUACAAUCAAGAGAGCUUCUGAGCUGAGUCCUGGGCACUGUCCUGGGCCUGAGAAGGGCAGAGCACCCUUGGUGAAGCACUGCUCCUCCUGAGGUGGGUUGUGUGAUCCCCUGCUUAGCCUGAGACAGCCUUCUCAAUCCUCCUCUACCUCUUUGCUAGACUGAAGGAAUUCAUUCCUGGUCGGGAGCCUCCAAGUGAGGUUGUAAACAGAGGCAGCAAAAAACAAAAACAAAAAACCUAAAAGAACCAAAACCCUCAAAGGCUAAAGGGCCCCAUGUCCCCUCUUCUGGGUAAAGAAGUACAAUGACAAAGCCAGAAACGGGCUCAACACCCUGGCACCUCUACCUUGGGGUUCAGCUCUCCCAGCUAGGAGACUUCUCAGAGGUGUGACGGGUUGGGAAGGAAGGACAGCUGGGAAGGCUUUAUUUGGUUCCUGUCACAGGUGGUAGGGGUAAGAUUCAGAACGAGAAGUCCCACAAGGAACUGAGGGGAGGAAGUUUAGGGGGUUUGGGGUGAUGAAAGGGGCCAACUAGAAAAGGAAGGCAGCAAAGAAGAGUCUGAGGAAAUUUCCCCAAGAGGGUACUGCAGUGAAAGGAAGGCCAAGGAUGGGAGCAUGUGCUGGUGGAGGGCCACUCAGGACGCACGGGCCCAAGACCAGAUGGCCCUUCCCUUAGGCCCAUGACUGCCCAAAAGGAAAACAAGGGCAAAGUGCAAGAUGUGGACAGGAAGAGAAACAUGUGCACAUGUGCUGUGUGAGUGCGUGCGUGUGUGUUGAAGGGCGAGGGCUGCUGUUGCUGUUACAGACAGAAGUCAGCGUGGGUCCACAGGGCAUCUGGGCCUCAGGGAGAUGGAGACACCUGGGCACCCUUCCUGACAGCUGAAGCCUCUCAGACAUUCAGGACAGAGACUGUGCAGACUGAGGGGUUGAUCAGUUUCCUUGCAUCUAAUGGAAACUUUAGAAUCUCUGCCCCUUACCACUACAGAGUGGCUGGGUCCUCGGGGUGAGUAGGCCUCCCUCCAGCCCUGGGACCAGAUAGAGGGAAAAAGGGUGGGAGCUUGGUGGCCUACUCGGCUUGUCCACCUGUUGUCACUGUAGCCAGUCACCUCCCUGCUAAAUCUUGGCAGCCCAGGAGGGUCCCAGCAGUUUCCGCCUGACCCUUGGGAGGGCUCUGUGAGGAGCGGCUCCCCCACAGCACGGCCACGGCGUGAGGUUGGAAGAGGAUGGUUUAUUGUCUGGGUGGAUUGGUAGCUCAGGCACGUGGACAUCUUCCGUGUUACACUGGGCGCCUGGCGGCCUCUCAGGAAUGGCUCCAUGGGGGUGGGCCCCAGUGUGGUCCCCUCAGCCCACCUGGGCCCACGUAAGGAAGGCUGGGAUGUCCCUCACAGGCACAUUCCUUGUCAGCGCCUUUACACGAAGGUUCCGAUCAUCGGUCAGCAACACCACCUCCCGUAACAGGCGGAUUGGCUCCUCUGUUGGCACAGAAAUCAGAUGGGCUCAGCUGAGGAUAGAAGUGUCAAAUACAAUCUCCUGUCUUGGGGAGAAUGUGGUUGUGGAGGGGCAAGUUCUUUCCAGGCUCAGAGCACCAUUCCCCUGAUGCUUAGAGGGUCAAGCUAGGUAGGAGCUGUGCUGGGGCUAUGAACUCCUCACACGGGACUCUUGUGCCUGGUGCCUGAGAGUACUCAAACUGCAGACCUGUCUUCCAAAGACUCAGAACUAAUAGGAAGCAGACUCCUAACUAUACCCCUGGCCCUAGAUUCCUAUUAACUGCCCUCACCCUCAUUCUAACAAAGUCUCUCCUUCUAAAGGUGGGAUGUGUGUGUUAAUGUUUUAUGUAUCCAAAGGUUAAAAAAUACAAAGGUGAAUAGAAAGUAGGAACAGAUCUUACGAAUGUGGGGGAAGGGGUUAGCUCUGGGAUGCUCUCAGGAGAGGCUUGCUAAAGGGGCCUGUGGCUAUGGUCAAAGGAUCUAUUAAAAGAGUGAUCUGUGAGCAUCUAUCAGUACACAGGGUAACGAGCAGCAGAGGGGACUGUCCUGCAGCUGUCUCAUGCUCCAUGUAGCUCUGUGCCUUCUUGAGUUCCUUACGCACUUUUGUAAAUACACUCACGUACAUAGGCUAGCUUCCUCCGGUAACACUGAGAUCACAUUAGCCACCCCUUCUUUACUCAUAUUUUAUAUACUUACAACAUUUUUCUGUACCAGUACAGAUAGCCUUCAUCUUUUUAGAUAAUUCUUACAGCAGAUUUUUCCUGUGUCUGACUAAUGUACAGGAGAAAACUUAAAAUGGGGCCCAGGAAUCACUCAAGUGACACUCUAGGCCCUGGGCAUGACUGCUUGGGUGGCAGGUCUAUCUCUCAGCCCUGCCCUGGCAUUUCCUGGUGGAGGUCUGGCAGAAAGCAAAGGCACAGGAAAUGUCCUGUGGUGUUUGGGGAUGGCUAGGGUUGGCGGGCUGGGGGAUUGCAAACAUCCAUGUCUGACCUGAGUAAUGCUGGCCUUGCCAGCUCCAGGCAGGGAGGCUGAGAGUUGGCUUUCAGCCUAGGGAGGAAUCUGGGGAUGAAGAGGGAGAGGCUCAGGGGGCUGAUGGUGGUGAGGAAAGGGAGAAGAGGACGACAGACAGGGCUGUGUGUAGAGGGUGAAGAACACGCCUCGUGAUUAAGGGAGGUCUAAGAGCCUUCCUUCUGUUGCCUGGGCCUGGAAUGUGAGUGUGUGGUGGGGUAGUGGUGUGGGGUGCUACAUGGGGUUCCCAGCUGUUGUCUGAGUCUGUCUGCAACUCCACCAUUCCUGCUCUGGGCUUCACACCAGAAGAGUCCUAGGCCUUAGGUCAGCCAACAAAGGCCCAGCAUUGCUGGCAGGGGUCUGCAGGGGUUUCUGUGGAUACUUUGAGACAUUUUUAACAAUAAACAUCCUCUGUUU
rnacentral:lncRNA from 1 species